rnacentral:rRNA from 1 species
UACAUGGGGUGCAAACGUUGCUCGGAAUUAUUGGGCGUAAAGCGCACGUAGGCGGUUUGUUAAGUCGGAUGUGAAAUCCCUCGGCUCAACUGAGGAAGUGCAUCCGAAGCUGGCAAGCUUGAGUACGAAAGAGGGUCGCGGAAUUCCCGGUGUAGAGGUGAAAUUCGUAGAUAUCGGGAGGAACACCGGUGGCGAAGGCGGCGACCUGGGUCGAUACUGACGCUGAGGUGCGAAAGCGUGGGGAGCGAACAGG